rnacentral:rRNA from 1 species
UCCGGAGGGCGCAAUCGUUGUUCGGAAUUACUGGGCGUAAAGCGCGUGUAGGUGGCCUGGCAAGUCGGGUGUGAAAUCCCGGAGCUCAACUCCGGAACUGCAUCCGAUACUGCCAAGCUCGAGUCUCGGAGAGGAUGGCGGAAUUUCCGGUGUAGAGGUGAAAUUCGUAGAUAUCGGAAGGAACACCAGUGGCGAAGGCGGCCGUCUGGACGAUGACUGACACUGAGACGCGAAAGCGUGGGGAGCAAACAGG